rnacentral:lncRNA from 1 species
UCCAAUGAGGAUUUAAAAAAUAAUAAUUCUUACAGUUCUGCAGAAGAGAGGAGGAGAGGUGAAGUGACUGGCCCGGAGGCUGGGGGAAGGAGGAGGGGGCGAGCUCCUUUCAUCUGCCCACCCCAGGAGCUCUGGGGAUCUGCCCUGCUGGCUGAGAUGUGGAGCUCCCUCUCCAUAAAGGGGCAAAGGCUGGCCUGCAGCCUGCCCCGCCAGGGUGGGCAGGAAGUGGCCACUGCCCCAAAAGGAUUGUGCAGAUGAGGAAUUCAAGGCUUAGAGAGGGCCGUGGUACCCUGCCCAUCAGUGACUAAGCUGCAGUUGAAACCAGGUCUCUGCACCUGGGGUGGGCCUGCAUGGCAGGAUGGGUUGCCGGUCAGUCUGCCUGAAGGCGGCAGUGGUGUUCUCUACUGGCAGUGCUUAUAGGAGAUGGAGACACUGGCAUGUAUCCCAGGACAGGUGAGUGGCAGAGUGUGGAGCCAGCUGCCUGACCAACACCCCUGCCAUGUUACAGCAGCAUGAGGGAACUGCCAGAGGGCUGGGCUUCUGACACUUCCCUCCUGAUGAGUCACCACUCACCCCCAUGCCUGACCUGUCCCUUUGCUGGAUGAUUUCACCCCAGCCCCACGCCACCCCUUAACUCAUCCUUCCCACCCUAGGAGGCCUCUCUAGCCCUCCCUCACCGGUGUCAUCUUGGCAUUUUCCUCUCUUGAGGGACCCCACUGUUCCAGAUGCCCCCGGCUUCCAAGGCUGGGAGGAGCCACUCAUCUCCAGACACGCUCCUCCCUCCCAGUUGCUCUGGCACCUUCCUUUCUGAAGCUGCUUAGGUACCUGCAGGGCUCCCAGGGCCCCCUUGGCUCCUGGGCCAGCUCCCCAACUUGCUCUGUUGGCUCCCGCUUGGGCUGCCAGGAAGCCAGGCGGCAGUGCCCAUCAGUAGGCACAAAGCUCCCUCCUGCAUCCCAUGGCCAGGCUGCCCCAAACCGUUUCUGGUGUCAGCACGGCAGGGAGGACCUCAUACCUUAGAGACUGACUGCCAGGACAGGGGCCAUGGAAGUUCCCUGUACCCUCUGUCUUCCCUGUAGCCCCUUACCCCCAAUACACACUGCUUUUCUGCAACACCUCCAAGCUCUAUCCAUCCCUCUCAUCUACCCAGACCCCACCAACCCCUCUCCCCACCUCCAAGGCUGAUCCAGAACCAGGUUCCAUCUAUGCAGUCACACACUCCUUCAAUGUGUAGGUGUGCUCUGUGCCUGGCCCUGGGUUGGGCACCCCAGCACAUACCCUGCUCUUGGUCUGCUUCCAGCCAAGUGGGAGACACAAGCAGGAGUGCUGGGCCAUCGCAGUACACAGGCUGUAGAUCUCUGACAGAGGGAACAGAGAAAUCCAUGCUGUGGCAGAUCCUGAGGAGGUGCCAGGAAGUGGGGUCUCAGAGCUUCAGGAGGAAGCCAUCAGGUGCGCGGAGGAAUGAAGGGCCUUUGGGGUGGAGACCGCAGCCUCAUGCAGGACAAUGGCCAUUGGCUCCUGGUACUAGUGAAGGCUGACGACCUCCAAAAGGUCCUGCUUUGGGCAUUAACCCUUCUUGAGGCAAGUCUGGUCUCUCCUGACAGCCAGUGUCCUCCCUGUGAAGAUGGAUCUAUUCAAAGCACCUUCAUGUCCACUCUCUCAUAACAUAGACGCCUCAAACUUUCAUGCUCUGAGACUGCGUAGGCCAGCAUUGUCCUGGCCGUGGUCGCCACAUCGGGGAGAGGACUAAAGCUUCCGCAGCCACCUCCGGCUCCGCCUGGGGCAGGACACAGCCUCCAAGCCCAACCUCUUCCCGGGUCUCC